rnacentral:pre_miRNA from 1 species
CCAUGAUCGUGAUGAUGAUGAUGAUGAUGAUGAUGAUGAUGCGGAUGAUCAUCACCAUCAUCAUCAUCAUCAUCAUUGUUC